UAUGCACAGAUAGCAACACUGAGGGUCUC
rnacentral:piRNA from 1 species